GAGCAGCACAGAACCUACCUGGAGGGCGAGUGCCUGGAGUGGCUCCGCAGAUACCUGGAGAACGGGAAGGAGACGCUGCAGCGCGCGGACCCCCCCAAGACACAUGUGACCCACCACCCCGUCUCUGACUACGAGGCCACCCUGAGGUGCUGGGCCCUGGGCUUCUACCCUGCGGAGAUCACACUGACCUGGCAGCGGGAUGGAGAGGAACAAACUGAAGACACAGAGCUCGUGGAGACCAGGCCUACAGGGGAUGGAACCUUCCAGAAGUGGGCAGCUGUGGUGGUGCCUUCUGGAGAGGAGCAGAGAUACACCUGUCAUGUGCAGCAUGAGGGUCUGCCCAAGCCCCUCACCUUGAGAUUCGAGCCGUUUUCCCAGUCCACCAUCCCCAUCGUGGGCAUCAUUGGUGGCCUGGUUCUGCUUGGAACUGUGGUCACUGGAGCUGUGGUUGCUGCUGUGAUGUGGAGGAGGAAGAGCUCAGAUAGAUAAGGCGGGAGCUACUCUCAGGCUGCAAGCAGUGACAGUGCCCAAGGUUCUGAUGUGUCUCUCACGGCUUUAAAGUGUGAGACAGCUGCCUUGUGUGGGAUUGAGAGGCAAGAUUUGUUCACACCUUCUCUUUGUGACUUGAAGAACCCUGACUUUCUUUCUGCAGAGGCACCUGAAUGUGUCUGUGUUCCUGUAGGCAUAAUGUGAGGAGGUGGGGAGAACACCCCAUCCCCGUGUCCACCAUGACCCUCUUCCCCACGCUGACCUGUGUUCCUUCCCCAUUUAUCUUUCCUGUUCCAGGGAGGUUGGGCUGGGGUGUCUCUAUCACUGUCUCAACUUCAUGGUGCACUGAACUGUAACUUCUUCCUUCCCUAUUACAAUUAGAACCUGAG